UGGAAGUAGACGGCAUUUGCACUUUGCAGAGUGUAGCAGAACAGAAAGUAUCGACGGUAAUUAUUAUACCGUUUGAAUUUUUUUUCUUAUUUAUUAUUUUGGAAAUAAAAAUAACAAAUAAGAAUAGAGUUGUAUAAAGUUGUUUCUUCAACUAAAAUCCAAUUGGAUUAUUAAAAAAGGCAUAAUUGCUGAAGAGCUCAAGUGACAUCAUCAUUAAGUGAAACAAAUGAUUGUUCCAAUUUUCUUUUCAAUAUACCAAAUGGAUAACCAUUCAUUGUACGACUUGUUGCAUGUUUUAACUAGCUCAGAAAUGGAAUGCAAAGCUGAGAUUGCAAUUCUUCUUCUAUACAGAAACUGGCAAGUUUGCAAAAAAUUAUAUUGGCUGUGAAUUUCAUUCUCUUAAAGCAAAAUAGUUAUUAAAUUUUAAAAAAAUUUCAUACAUCAACGUACACAAAUAUGUAUUAAAAAAAAGUUAAAAAAUAUUUGGUCUAAUACAAAAAAAUGCCUUUUCAAAGCGAAAGCAAGAAUCUAUUUACUUUCCAUUAUCA